rnacentral:tRNA from 1 species
GCGCCUAUAGCUCAGGGGUUAGAGCAUCCGCCUUAUAAGCGAAAGGUCGCUGGUUCGAUCCCAGCUAGGCGCA